GACGAAGGGGGCUAGCGUUGUUCGGAAUUACUGGGCGUAAAGGGUUCGUAGGUGGCCUGCUAAGUCAGACGUGAAAUCCCUCAGCUUAACUGGGGAACUGCGUCUGAUACUGGUGGGCUUGAGUGCAGGAGAGGAACGCGGAAUUCCAGGUGUAGCGGUGAAAUGCGUAGAUAUCUGGAGGAACACCGGUGGCGAAGGCGGCGUUCUGGACUGCAACUGACACUGAGGAACGAAAGCCAGGGGAGCAAACGGG
rnacentral:rRNA from 1 species